rnacentral:lncRNA from 1 species
UCUCUCUCGGUGGAAAAUGUGAUGCCCCAAACCUUGCGCCCUUUACAAAGUACAUUCCAAGAUGCCACAAUUAAUAAUAGACCUCCUAGGAGGCUGCAGCCCCUUGGGAAAAGACCAGGGAUUCCCCAGAUUUGACUAUUUUCCGUAACAGUUGACAACCAUCUACAUAUAUUUGCAUUUUAAAAUCCUAAAAACAACAAAC